CGCGUAGGCGGCCCUCCUUGUCGCGUGUGAAAGCCCCGGGCUCAACCUGGGAAUUGCGCGCGAAACGGGGGGGCUUGAGUUCGGGAGAGGAGCGUGGAAUUCCCAGUGUAGAGGUGAAAUUCGUAGAUAUUGGGAAGAACACCGGUGGCGAAGGCGGCGCUCUGGACCGAGACUGACGCUGAGGCGCGAAAGCGUGGGGAGCAAACAA
rnacentral:rRNA from 1 species